ACUCCUACGGGAGGCAGCAGUGGGAAUAUUGGACAAUGGGCGAAAGCCUGAUCCAGCCAUGCCGCGUGUGUGAAGAAGGCUUUCGGGUUGUAAAGCACUUUCAGUGGGGAAGAAGGCUUGUCGGCCAAUACCCGGCAAGAGCGACAUCACCCACAGAAGAAGCACCGGCUAACUCCGUGCCAGCAGCCGCGGUAAUACGGAGGGUGCAAGCGUUAAUCGGAAUUACUGGGCGUAAAGCGCGCGUAGGCGGCUUGUCACGCCGGGUGUGAAAG
rnacentral:rRNA from 1 species